rnacentral:rRNA from 1 species
AACGAACGCUGGCGGCAUGCCUAACACAUGCAAGUCGAACGAGACCUUCGGGUCUAGUGGCGCACGGGUGCGUAACGCGUGGGAACCUGCCCUUAGGUUCGGAAUAACUCCCCGAAAGGGGUGCUAAUACCGGAUAAUGUCUUCGGACCAAAGAUUUAUCGCCUUUGGAUGGGCCCGCGUUGGAUUAGCUAGUUGGUAGGGUAAAAGCCUACCAAGGCGACGAUCCAUAGCUGGUCUGAGAGGAUGAUCAGCCACACUGGGACUGAGACACGGCCCAGACUCCUACGGGAGGGAGCAGUGGGGGAUAUUGGACAAUGGGCGAAAGCCUGAUCCAGCAAUGCCGCGUGAGUGAUGAAGGCCUGAGGGUUGUAAAGCUCUUUUACCCGGGAUGAUAAUGACAGUACCGGGAGAAUAAGCUCCGGCUAACUCCGUG